AAUCAACGCUGGCGGCGUGCCUCAGACACGCAAGUCGAACGCUGCUGUUCGCCUUCGGGUGGACAGCGGAGUGGCGCACGGGUGAGUAACACGUAGGUAAUCUACCUUUGGGUGGGGAAUAACAGCCGGAAACGGCUGCUAAUACCGCAUAAUGCAGCGGCAUCACAUGAUGACAGUUGUUAAAGCGAGGGAUCGUAAGGCCUCGCGCCUGAAGAGGAGCCUGCGGCAGAUUAGGUAGUUGGUGAGGUAAUGGCUCACCAAGCCUGCGAUCUGUAACCGGCCUGAGAGGGCGGUCGGUCACACUGACACUGACAUACGGGUCAGACUCC
rnacentral:rRNA from 1 species